rnacentral:rRNA from 1 species
CCUACGGGAGGCAGCAGUGAGGAAUAUUGGUCAAUGGGCGCGAGCCUGAUCCAGCCAAGUCGCGUGAGGGAAGACGGCCCUACGGGUUGUAAACCUCUUUUGCCGGGGAGCAACGGGCGCCACGUGUGGCGCCACUGAGAGUAACCGGAGAAAAAGCAGCGGCUAAUUCCGUGCCAGCAGCCGCGGUAAUACGGGGGAUGCGAGCGUUAUCCGGAUUUAGUGGGGUAAAAGGGUGCGUAUGCGGAGCGUUAAGUCAGUGGUCAAAUUGAGGGGCUCAACCCCUUCCCGCCAUGGAAACUGGCGCUCUUGAGUGGAAGAGAAGUAUGCGGAAUGCGUGGUGUAGCGGUGAAAUGCAUAGAUAUUACGCAGAACCCCGAUUGCGAAGGCAGCAUGCCGGCUUCCGACUGACGCUGAGGCACGAAAGCGUGGGGAUCGAACAGGAUUAGAUACCCCAGUAGUC